UGCCAGCAGCCGCGGUAAUACGGAGGGUGCAAGCGUUAUCCGGAUUUACUGGGUUUAAAGGGUGCGCAGGCGGAUUUGUAAGUCAGUGGUGAAAGCCUGGAGCUUAACUCCGGAACUGCCAUUGAUACCGCAAACCUUGAGUACAGUUGAGGUGGGCGGAAUGCAGCAUGUAGCGGUGAAAUGCUUAGAUAUGCUGCAGAACACCAAUUGCGAAGGCAGCUCGCUAAACUGUAACUGACGCUGAGGCACGGAAGCGUGGGGAGCGAACAGGAUUAGAUA
rnacentral:rRNA from 1 species